UUUAUGUAUUUUAUCUUUCGCAUAAAUAUCAUACUUCUUCAACAUUUCACGUGACAAAGGAUCAACUCCAGUGGUUGGACUUGAUUCCUGCAAAAUAUAAAUAAAGGAAGGCUGAAUUAUAAAGAUAUCUAAUCAAAUGUUCAUGUUGUCGAAAUAUUGAUUUCACCUUGUCGCGUGAUGCUGGCUUUUGAAGCUGAAGUCCACCAUCCUGUUGUAAUAAAACGAUUCAUAAGGUUACAGGGAAGACCUACCAAAUAAUAAAAAUUAUCACAUUUUACCAUUGACAUUGUAGCAACAAUUCCAGGCCCGACUAUCAAUGUCUCUUAUGCUCUGCAAUAUUAUGUAAUUUUAUGUAAUAUUAUACAAUACUAGGUAAUAUUAUUGUAAUAUUUUAAAAAUAAAUUCCAACUAGUAUUUAACU